UACGAAGGAUGCGAGCGUUAUCCGGAUUUAUUGGGUUAAAGGGAGCGUAGGCGGUCUUAUAAGUCAGUGGUGAAAUCUCGUUGCUUAACAACGAACGUGCCAUUGAUACUGUAGGACUUGAGUACAGUUGCCGUUGGCGGAAUGUGUCAUGUAGCGGAUGAAUGCAUAGAUAUGACACAGAACACCGAUUGCGAAGGCAGCUGACGAAACUGUAACUGACGCGAGCUCGAAAGCGUGGGGAUCAAACAGG
rnacentral:rRNA from 1 species